GCCGGUGUGGCUCAGUGGAUAGAGCCUCAGCCUGCAGACCAAAGGGUCCCGGGUUCGAAUCCGGUCACGGGCA
rnacentral:tRNA from 1 species